AUUGAACGCUGGCGGCAGGCCUAACACAUGCAAGUCGAGCGGAGCGGCGGACGGGUGAGUAAUGCCUAGGAAUCUGCCUGCUAGUGGGGGAUAACGUCCGGAAACGGGCGCUAACACCGCACACUAUCAGAAGAGUCUACGUUGGAUUAGCUAGUUGGUGUGUUAAAGGCCUACCAAGGCGACGAUCCGUACCUGGUAUGACAGGAGGAUCAGGCACACUGGAAGUGAGACACAGUCCAGACUCCGACGGGAGGAAGCAGUGGGGAAUAUUGGACAAUGGGGGAAAGCCUGAUACAGCAAUGGCGGGUGUGUGAAGAAGGUCUUCGGAUUGUAAAGCACUUUAAGUUGGGAGGCGUUACCAACAGAAUAAGCACCGGCUAAAUUCGUGCCAGCAGCCGCGGUAAUAC
rnacentral:rRNA from 1 species